rnacentral:tRNA from 1 species
GUUUUAGUAAUUUAAAUAAAAAUAUUGGUCUUGUAAACCAAAAAUAAAAUAAUUUUCUAAAACU